GUCGAACGAUGAAGCUGGAGCUUGCUCCGGUGGAUUAGUGGCGAACGGGUGAGUAACACGUGAGAAAUCUGCCCUUGACUCUGGGAUAACUGCGGGAAACUGUAGCUAAUACCGGAUACUUUCCUUGGUGGGCAUCCACUGGGGAAGAAAGAAUUUCGGUCAAGGAUGAUCUCGCGGCCUAUCAGCUUGUUGGUGAGGUAAUGGCUCACCAAGGCGACGACGGGUAGCCGGCCUGAGAGGGUGACCGGCCACACUGGGACUGAGACACGGCCCAGACUCCUACGGGAGGCAGCAGUGGGGAAUAUUGCACAAUGGGCGCAAGCCUGAUGCAGCAACGCCGCGUGAGGGACGAAGGCCUUCGGGUUGUAAACCUCUUUUAGCAGGGAAGAAGCGAAAGUGACGGUACCUGCAGAAAAAGCACCGGCUAACUACGUGCCAGCAGCCGCGGUAAUACGUAGGGUGCAAGCGUUGUCCGGAAUUAUUGGGCGUAAAGAGCUCGUAGGCGGUUUGUCACGUCUGCUGUGAAAUUUCGAGGCUCAACCUCGAACUUGCAGUGGGUACGGGCAGGCUAGAGUGCGGUAGGGGAGAUGGGAAUUCCUGGUGUAGCGGUGAAAUGCGUUGAUAUCUUGAGGAACACCGGUGGCGAAGGCGGCUUACUGGGUCUUUUCUGACGCUGAGGCACGAAAGCCAAGGUAGCAAACGGGAUUAGAUACCCCGGUAGUCUUGGCUGUAAACGAUGAGCACUUGAUUGAAGGGUCCUCCAUAGCCUUUCAGUCGUAGCGAAAGUGUUAAGUGCUCCGCCUGGGGAGUAUGGUCGCAAGGC
rnacentral:rRNA from 1 species